UUAACACAUGCAAGUCGAACGAGGAUAUACCAGAGGAGAGCUCGGCAGGAAUCAGGUAUAUUCGAGUGGCGGACGGGUGAGUAACGCGUGAGCAACCUGUCCCAGACAGGGGGAUAACACUUGGAACAGGUGCUAAUACCGCAUAAGACCACGGUAUCACAUGGUAGUGGGGGUAAAAGGAGCAAUCCGGUUUGGGGUGGGCUCGCGUCCGGAUUUAGAUAGUUGGUGAGGUAACGGCCCACCAAGUCGACGAUCGGUAGCCGACCUGAGAGGGUGAUCGGCCACAUUGGAACUGAGAGACGGUCCAAACUCCUACGGGAGGCAGCAGUGGGGAAUAUUGGGCAAUGGGCGAAAGCCUGACCCAGCAACGCCGCGUGAGUGAAGAAGGCCUUCGGGUUGUAAAGCUCUGUUAUAGUUGACGAAGGAAGUGACGGUAGGCUAUAAGGAAGCCCCGGCUAACUACGUGCCAGCCGCCGC
rnacentral:rRNA from 1 species